rnacentral:rRNA from 1 species
UNUUUGAUAAACCUGCUCAUGAUAUAAAUAGCCGCAGAAAAUUUACUGUGCUAAGGUAGCAUAAUCACUUGUCUUUUAAUUAAAGACUAGAAUGAACGGCCUAACAAUUAAAAACUUUUUUUUAAUUAUUAAUUUAACUUGUAAUAAGCAUAAAAAUAUGCUUAUACAUAUAAUAGACGACAAGACCCCAUCGAACUUAACUGAAGUUAAGCUGGGGAAGCUUAUUAAUAAUUAUUUUAAUAAUAAUUUUAAAAUAAAUACCCAAUAAAACUGAAUCAAUCAAGUUACCGUGGGGAUAACAGCGUAAUUUAUCUUUAAAGCUCUCAUUAAAAGAAAAGAUUACGACCUCGAUGUUGAAUUAAUUUUACUUACUAACGCAAGCGUUAAAACAAGUUAAGUCUGUUCGACUUUUCAAAAAUUACAUGAUCUGAGUCAAAACCCGGAGA